GACGAACGCUGGCGGCGUGCUUAACACAUGCAAGUCGAACGGAAAGGCCCCUUUGGGGGUCCUCGAGUGGCGAACGGGUGAGUAACACGUGAGUAACCUGCCCUUGACUUCGGGAUAACUUCAGGAAACUGGGGCUAAUACCGGAUAGGAAUCCUUGCUGCAUGGUGGGGGUUGGAGAGCUUCGGCGGUUUUGGAUGGACUCGCGGCUUAUCAGCUUGUUGGUGGGGUAGUGGCUUACCAAGGCUUUGACGGGUAGCCGGCCUGAGAGGGCGACCGGCCACAUUGGGACUGAGAUACGGCCCAGACUCCUACGGGAGGCAGCAGUGGGGAAUAUUGCACAAUGGGCGGAAGCCUGAUGCAGCAACGCCGCGUGCGGGAUGACGGCCUUCGGGUUGUAAACCGCUUUCAGCAGGGGCGAAGCUUGUGGUGACGGUACCUGCAGAAGAAGCACCGGCUAACUACGUG
rnacentral:rRNA from 1 species